UGUGUGUUAGUGGAAGCGUCUGGAAAGGCGCGCGAUACAGGGUGACAGCCCCGUACACAAAAAUGCACAUGCUGUGAGCUCGAUGAGUAGGGCGGGACACGUGGUAUCCUGUCUGAAUAUGGGGGGACCAUCCUCCAAGGCUAAAUACUCCUGACUGACCGAUAGUGAACCAGUACCGUGAGGGAAAGGCGAAAAGAACCCCGGCGAGGGGAGUGAAAAAGAACCUGAAACCGUGUACGUACAAGCAGUGGGAGCCUCUUUUAUGGGGUGACUGCGUACCUUUUGUAUAAUGGGUCAGCGACUUAUAUUCUGUAGCAAGGUUAACCGAAUAGGGGAGCCGAAGGGAAACCGAGUCUUAACUGGGCGUUAAGUUGCAGGGUAUAGACCCGAAACCCGGUGAUCUAGCCAUGGGCAGGUUGAAGGUUGGGUAACACUAACUGGAGGACCGAACCGACUAAUGUUGAAAAAUUAGCGGAUGACUUGUGGCUGGGGGUGAAAGGCCAAUCAAACCGGGAGAUAGCUGGUUCUCCCCGAAAGCUAUUUAGGUAGCGCCUCGUGAAUUCAUCUCCGGGGGUAGAGCACUGUUUCGGCAAGGGGGUCAUCCCGACUUACCAACCCGAUGCAAACUGCGAAUACCGGAGAAUGUUAUCACGGGAGACACACGGCGGGUGCUAACGUCCGUCGUGAAGAGGGAAACAACCCAGACCGCCAGCUAAGGUCCCAAAGUCAUGGUUAAGUGGGAAACGAUGUGGGAAGGCCCAGACAGCCAGGAUGUUGGCUUAGAAGCAGCCAUCAUUUAAAGAAAGCGUAAUAGCUCACUGGUCGAGUCGGCCUGCGCGGAAGAUGUAACGGGGCUAAACCAUGCACCGAAGCUGCGGCAGCGACACUAUGUGUUGUUGGGUAGGGGAGCGUUCUGUAAGCCUGUGAAGGUGUACUGUGAGGUAUGCUGGAGGUAUCAGAAGUGCGAAUGCUGACAUAAGUAACGAUAAAGCGGGUGAAAAGCCCGCUCGCCGGAAGACCAAGGGUUCCUGUCCAACGUUAAUCGGGGCAGGGUGAGUCGACCCCUAAGGCGAGGCCGAAAGGCGUAGUCGAUGGGAAACAGGUUAAUAUUCCUGUACUUGGUGUUACUGCGAAGGGGGGACGGAGAAGGCUAUGUUGGCCGGGCGACGGUUGUCCCGGUUUAAGCGUGUAGGCUGGUUUUCCAGGCAAAUCC
rnacentral:rRNA from 1 species